CCUUUAUCGAGAGCGGCCGAGGGAUCUGGCCCGGCGACGCCGCAGCAACCAGCUUUCAUCUAAGCGGGUGCUCCAUCCAGCCGGUAGCAGCCACGAUGACGCGACCCGGAAAGAUAGAGG
rnacentral:ncRNA from 2 species